ACUCCUACGGGAGGCAGCAGUGGGGAAUUUUGCGCAAUGGGGGAAACCCUGACGCAGCAACGCCGCGUGAGUGAUGAAGGCCUUCGGGUCGUAAAGCUCUGUCAGAGGGAAAGAAAUGCAGUAAUGCUAAUACCAUGACUGCUUGACGGUACCCUCAAAGGAAGCACCGGCUAACUCCGUGCCAGCAGCCGCGGUAAUACGGAGGGUGCAAGCGUUGUUCGGAAUUAUUGGGCGUAAAGCGCGUGUAGGCGGUUUGUUAAGUCUGAUGUGAAAGCCCCGGGCUCAACCUGGGAAGUGCAUUGGAAACUGGCAGACUUGAAUACGGGAGAGGGUAGUGGAAUUCCUAGUGUAGGAGUGAAAUCCGUAGAUAUUAGGAGGAACACCGGUGGCGAAGGCGGCUACCUGGACCGAUAUUGACGCUGAGACGCGAAAGCGUGGGGAGCAAACAGGAUUAGAUACCCUGGUAGUCCACGCCGUAAACGAUGAGAACUAGGUGUUGCGGGUA
rnacentral:rRNA from 1 species